rnacentral:rRNA from 1 species
UCCAGAAGAAAUCAGUUCCAUGGUACUCACUAAAAUGAAGGAAACUGCAGAGGCUUAUCUUGGUCAUCCCGUUACCCAUGCUGUGGUCACUGUACCAGCAUACUUCAAUGAUGCCCAAAGACAGGCAACCAAGGAUGCAGGUGUCAUUGCUGGCCUCAAUGUGAUGAGGAUUAUAAAUGAACCGACUGCUGCUGCUAUUGCCUAUGGGCUCGAUAAGAA